UUUGACUAGAGCCUGGCCGACUACGAGUAUUCUUGGGUGAAUAAUACUAUAUAAGCGUGUUAUUGCUUGAGAAUACACGUAAUUGCCUUGGUUUCCACGGC
rnacentral:pre_miRNA from 1 species